UUACUGCGCAGCAAACUAGGGUG
rnacentral:miRNA from 12 species